rnacentral:rRNA from 1 species
UAUUAGAUGAGCCUAAGUCGGAUUAGCUGGUUGGUGGGGUAAAGGCCUACCAAGGCGACGAUCUGUAGCUGGUCUGAGAGGAUGAUCAGCCACACUGGGACUGAGACACGGCCCAGACUCCUACGGGAGGCAGCAGUGGGGAAUAUUGGACAAUGGGCGAAAGCCUGAUCCAGCCAUGCCGCGUGUGUGAAGAAGGCCUUUUGGUUGUAAAGCACUUUAAGUGGGGAGGAAAAGCUUAUGGUUAAUACCCAUAAGCCCUGACGUUACCCACAGAAUAAGCACCGGCUAACUCUGUGCCAGCAGCCGCGGUAAUACAGAGGGUGCAAGCGUUAAUCGGAAUUACUGGGCGUAAAGCGCGCGUAGGUGGUUAUUUAAGUCAGAUGUGAAAGCCCCGGGCUUAACCUGGGAACUGCAUCUGAUACUGGAUAACUAGAGUAGGUGAGAGGGGAGUA